AGUGAACGCUAGCGGCAGGCUUAAUACAUGCAAGUGAGGGGCAGCAUGAUAUACGCGAGUAUAUUGAUGGCGACCGGCGGACGGGUGAGUAAUAGGUAGGAGACCUACCUCAUACAGGGGGAUAGCAUAGAGAAAUCUGUGGUAAUACCCCAUGAGGUUAUAUGAAUAGAGGCAUAUAAUCAAAGCAUAAGCGAUUAUGCGGUAUGAGAGGGGCCUACUGACCAUUAGCUAGUUGGUGAGGUAAGGGCUCACCAAGGCGAAGAUGGUUAGGGGUUUUGAGAGAGAGACCCCCCCACAUUGGAACUGAGAGACGGUCCAGACUCCUACGGGAGGCAGCAGUAGGGAAUAUUGGGCAAUGGGCGAAAGCCUGACCCAGCCAUGCCGCGUGAAGGAAGACGGCCUUAUGGGUUGUAAACUUCUUUACUACGCGAAUAGAGGUUAGUACGAGAUACUAAUAGGAAGGUAGUGUAGUAAAAAAGCACCGGCUAACUCCGUG
rnacentral:rRNA from 1 species